rnacentral:snRNA from 1 species
AGAACUAACUUCAAUUUCUGCUUUUUGGAGGGUGAAUGCCUAUAGGAUUGGAGCGCUUGGACAGAGUGGCUCCUCCUGCUGGCAAGACGUUCGGCACCACCUGAUACUUGACUGUGUAUGAAAUACUUCAGUUUUGCUUUAAAUACUGGCAGCAAGAGCUAGCAUUCGGGGUUGGGGAUUUAGCUCAGUGGUAGAGCGCUUGCCUAGCAAGCGCAAGGCCCUGGGUUCGGUCCUCAGCUCUGGAAAAAAAAAAAAAAAAAAAAAAAAAGAAGACAAAACAACAAAAAAAGACCAAAAAAAAACAAGGUAACUGGCACACACAACCUUUUUCAUUUUCAAAGGCGCCCAAGGACAUUUUC